UGAGGAAUAUUGCACAAUGGGCGAAAGCCUGAUGCAGCGACGCCGCGUGUAGGACGAAGGGGCUUUGCCCUGUAAACUACUGUUAAGAGGGAAGAAAAGCCUAUUACGUGGGCUGGGACUGUACCUCUAGAGGAAGGAUCGGCUAACUACGUGCCAGCAGCCGCGGUAAUACGUAGGAUCCGAGCGUUGUCCGGAAUCACUGGGUGUAAAGGGUGCGCAGGCGGGCUUGUGCGUCAGAGGUUAAAUAUCCCGGCUUAACUGGGAAAAUGCCUUUGAUACGGCAAGUCUUGAAUAUGAGAGAGGAUGGUGGAAUUCCUGGUGUAGCGGUGAAAUGCGUAGAUAUCAGGAGGAACACCAGUGGCGAAGGCGGCCAUCUGGCUCAUUAUUGACGCUCAGGCACGAAAGCGUGGGGAGCAAACAGG
rnacentral:rRNA from 1 species